AGUGAUCAACCUGCCAGUGCUAUUGUUUGGUACUUAAAGCGAGGUUGCCCUUUGUAUAUUCUGUUUAUUGACAUGCAAUAUACAAGGGCAAGCUCUCUGUGAGUAUCAAACCUUGUCUUGGACCCAGUC
rnacentral:miRNA from 1 species